rnacentral:rRNA from 1 species
GAUGAACGCUGGCGGCGUGCCUAAUACAUGCAGGUCGAGCGAACAGACGAGGAGCUUGCUCCUCUGACGUUAGCGGCGGACGGGUGAGUAACACGUGGAUAACCUACCUAUAAGACUGGGAUAACUUCGGGAAACCGGAGCUAAUACCGGAUAAUAUAUUGAACCGCAUGGUUCAAUAGUGAAAGACGGUUUUGCUGUCACUUAUAGAUGGAUCCGCGCCGCAUUAGCUAGUUGGUAAGGUAACGGCUUACCAAGGCAACGAUGCGUAGCCGACCUGAGAGGGUGAUCGGCCACACUGGAACUGAGACACGGUCCAGACUCCGACGGGAGGCAGCAGUAGGGAAUCUUCCGCAAUGGGCGAAAGCCUGACGGAGCAACGCCGCGUGAGUGAUGAAGGUCCUCGGAUCGUAAAACUCUGUUAUUAGGGAAGAACAAAUGUGUAAGUAACUAUGCACGUCUUGACGGUACCUAAUCAGAAAGCCACGGCUAACUACGUG